CCUGGUUCCCCUGUGGGCUCGGAUCCACCCAGGGGCGGACACAGGGCUUGGAACCCUGGCAUGGGGAGGGGAGGAAGGGUAAGCUGCUGUCUCCUUUGUUAAUCUCAGGCAUGGACAGACCCUUUGAAGAGCACCCAGUCCCCACUCCACUUUACCUCCAAGAAUUAAGGAUGGACAGGAUGGGUUAGAAUGACCACUUAUAAACAGCAACAGUGUGGAGGCUUGAGAGUGGCUGUGAUCACCAGGUUACAUCCUCUUACUUCCUAGGAUCCUUCUGAACUAGGGAUGCACCUUCAGCUGGGGUACUGCUUUUCUAAGAGUGGCUGUUAUCAGCAUGAAGGGGACCCCAGGUAGGCUCACCACACUAUGUUGUCAGUGUAGAAACCAUAAACCCAGGGCAGAGAGGAAGACAUGUAGCAGCGUGUAUGUGGCCCUGAGCAUGAGGUCCUGUAUCUUUAAGCAGAGCUCGGCAAGCCUAGAGGCUGGCUUUGCUUGCUCAUCUAUGCGGAGGCGGCCACCAUCCUGUGAGCAGUACCUGGGGUUGUGGGAGUUCUUUGGGGAGACUGCCCUGUGAGUCACGCCUGCAGAGGGUUGUGGGGCAGAGUUCUCAACAUGCUCAGUGGUGAUUCAGGGGCCCAGCUGAGACCUCAGCCGUAACCAAGGCUACCCAAGUAACCCAUUCUACCUGGUCCGGAACUGGCCCUGUCUGGCUGGUAGGGAGUGGUCCUGACUUAGAUAACCACAUCAUCGCCAGCAGUGAUCAAAAAGAUGCCCACAGGAUCAGUCUCCUGGCAUCAGCCGUGGCAUGUGGGCACAAGGAGAGCUGGGGAAUAGUGGGUGCAAAUGGUCUGAGAAGACCAGCUCUCCAGUGAACAAGCAUAUUCACUAUGGCAUUAGUGCUAGAAAGACCACACAUUCACUGGGUGUAUCCACAGGGGUUACUCAGCAGCAUGAUACAUGGGGGGCUGGAGAUGUAAAUCCCUCCUUGUGUUUAGGGAUUGAAAGUCCCCUCUGUGGUCAAGGAUUUGGGGCAGUCUUAUGUGAAAGUAGGGAGAGUGACCCAGUGGCUUCAGGGCUGCCU
ensembl:lncRNA